UACAGAGGUCCCAAGCGUUGUUCGGAUUCACUGGGCGUAAAGGGUGCGUAGGUGGUGAGGUAAGUCGGAUGUGAAAGCUCGGAGCUCAACUCCGAAAUGGCAUUGGAAACUACCUUGCUCGAGGGUUGGAGGGGGACUGGAAUGCUUGGUGUAGCAGUGGAAAUGCGGUAGAUAUCAAGCGGAACACCAGUGGCGAAGGCGAGUCCCUGGACAACUCCGUGACACUGAGGCACGAAGGCCAGGGGAGCAAACGGG
rnacentral:rRNA from 1 species